rnacentral:rRNA from 1 species
UUUCCGAAUGGGGAAACCCAGCAUGAGUUAUGUCAUGUUAUCGAUAUGUGAAUACAUAGCAUAUCAGAAGGCACACCCGGAGAACUGAAACAUCUUAGUACCCGGAGGAAGAGAAAGAAAAUUCGAUCCCCUUAGUAGCGGCGAGCGAAACGGGAAGAGCCCAAACCAACAAGCUUGCUUGUUGGGGUUGUAGGACACUCUAUACGGAGUUACAAAGGACGACAUUAGACGAAUCAUCUGGAAAGAUGAAUCAAA